GAAUAUUGGUCAAUGGACGCAAGUCUGAACCAGCCAUGCCGCGUGCAGGAAGAAUGCCCUAUGGGUUGUAAACUGCUUUUAUUUGGGAAUAAACCUCUUUACGUGUAGAGAGCUGAAGGUACCAAACGAAUAAGCACCGGCUAACUCCGUGCCAGCAGCCGCGGUAAUACGGAGGGUGCAAGCGUUAUCCGGAAUCAUUGGGUUUAAAGGGGCCGCAGGCGGGCUAAUAAGUCAGUGGUGAAAGCCCAUAGCUUAACUAUGGAACUGCCAUUGAAACUGUUAGUCUUGAAUUCGGUCGAAGUGGGCGGAAUGUGUCAUGUAGCGGUGAAAUGCAUAGAUAUGACACAGAACACCGAUAGCGAAGGCAGCUCACUAGGCCUGGAUUGACGCUCAGGGACGAAAGCGUGGGGAGCGAACAGGA
rnacentral:rRNA from 1 species